CUCUCCCCGCCCCCUCCCCGUUCUUGCUGCUCCAAGCUGUGCUCACCUGCUCUGGGACCCGCCGGCCCCUGGGGCUGUGGUCGGACCGAGGCGCUGCGCGGCCCUCAGCGCGCAGGGGGACCACGAGCGUGUGCUGCGGCCCGUUUCCUCCGGCGUUAGCCCGCCUGCGGUUUAACCAGAGCCGGCGACCCGGGAGCAGGGGCUCAUGUGGCGUGGAGACCCCUGCGAUGCGAGUGCCACAGUCAGGCCCUUCCUAGACGGUCAGGCCAAGGCCCUGGUGACCAGGACCCCGGCGACAGCGAUGGCCGUCUCUGGUGCUGGGAUGUCGGCGGCUGGCUGUGAGGAGAAUGUUCAGGGGCCCUCGGCAUCCAGGGACCUGCUGCCGGAGGAGGAAUGCGAUGAUGAGGUAGAGCCCGAGGAGCCAGGGCCGGAGUCGGGGGCAUUUCUGAGCCCCGUGGGUGUGCACCUGUGUGCCCUGGGCUCCGUGGCGCUGUUCCUGCUCUACUGCUCCUACGCUCAGGAUCCUGCUCUGGCCAGCACUUACAUUUAAAGACCUGAGAGCCACU